UACGGAGGGGGCUAGCGUUGUUCGGAAUUACUGGGCGUAAAGCGCACGUAGGCGGCUUUGUAAGUUAGAGGUGAAAGCCCAGGGCUUAACCCUGGAAUUGCCUUUAAGACUGCAUCGCUAGAAUCGUGGAGAGGUGAGUGGAAUUCCGAGUGUAGAGGUGAAAUUCGUAGAUAUUCGGAAGAACACCAGUGGCGAAGGCGACUCACUGGACACGGAUUGACGCUGAGGUGCGAAAGCGUGGGGAGCAAACAGG
rnacentral:rRNA from 1 species